rnacentral:rRNA from 1 species
AUUGAACGCUGGCGGCAGGCCUAACACAUGCAAGUCGAGCGGAUGAAGGGAGCUUGCUCCUGGAUUCAGCGGCGGACGGGUGAGUAAUGCCUAUGAAUCUGCCUGGUAGUGGGGGAUAACGUCCGGAAACGGGCGCUAAUACCGCAUACGUCCUGAGGGAGAAAGUGGGGGAUCUUCGGACCUCACGCUAUCAGAUGAGCCUAGGUCGGAUUAGCUAGUUGGUGGGGUAAAGGCCUACCAAGGCGACGAUCCGUAACUGGUCUGAGAGGAUGAUCAGUCACACUGGAACUGAGACACGGUCCAGACUCCUACGGGAGGCAGCAGUGGGGAAUAUUGGACAAUGGGCGAAAGCCUGAUCCAGCCAUGGCGCGUGUGUGAAGAAGGUCUUCGGAUUGUAAAGCACUUUAAGUUGGGAGGAAGGGCAGUAAGUUAAUACCUUGCUGUUUUGACGUUACCAACAGAAUAAGCACCGGCUAACUUCGUG